rnacentral:rRNA from 1 species
CGAGCUGGGUUCAGAACGUCGUGAGACAGUUCGGUCCCUAUCCGUCGCAGGCGUAGGAAAUUUGAGAAGACCUGUCCUUAGUACGAGAGGACCGGGAUGGACGUAUCUCUGGUGUACCAGUUGUCCUGCCAAGGGCAUGGCUGGGUAGCUAUGUACGGAAUGGAUAAGCGCUGAAAGCAUCUAAGCGCGAAGCCAACUUCAAGAUAAGAUUUCCCACCGCAAGGGUAAGACCCCAGAAAGACUAUCUGGUUGAUAGGUCGAAGGUGUAAGUGCAGCAAUGUAUUUAGCUUAUCGAUACU